CCUACGGGGUGCAGCAGUGGGGAAUAUUGCACAAUGGGGGAAACCCUGAUGCAGCGACGCCGCGUGAGCGAUGAAGUAUUUCGGUAUGUAAAGCUCUAUCAGCAGGGAAGAAAAUGCCGGUACCUGACUAAGAAGCCCCGGCUAACUACGUGCCAGCAGCCGCGGUAAUACGUAGGGGGCGAGCGUUCUCCGGAUUUACUGGGUGUAAAGGGAGCGUAGACGGCGAUGCAAGCCAGAUGUGAAAGCCCGGGGCUCAACCCCGGGACUGCAUUUGGAACUGUGUGGCUGGAGUGUCGGAGGGGCAGGCGGAAUUCCUGGUGUAGCGGUGAAAUGCGUAGAUAUUAGGAGGAACACCAGUGGCGAAGGCGGCCUGCUGGACGGUGACUGACGUUGAGGCUCGAAAGCGUGGGGAGCAAACAGGAUUAGAUACCCUGGUAGUC
rnacentral:rRNA from 1 species